rnacentral:rRNA from 1 species
CUACGGGGUGCACCAGUGAGGAAUAUUGCACAAUGGGGGAAACCCUGAUGCAGCAACGCCGCGUGGAGGAUGACGCAUUUCGGUGUGUAAACUCCUUUUAUGAGUCAAGAAAAUGACGGUAGCUCAUGAAUAAGCACCGGCUAACUCCGUGCCAGCAGCCGCGGUAAUACGGAGGGUGCAAGCGUUACUCGGAAUCACUGGGCGUAAAGGACGCGUAGGCGGGUUGUCAAGUCAGGUGUGAAAUCCUACAGCUUAACUGUAGAACUGCACUUGAAACUGGCAACCUAGAGUAUGGGAGGGGGAGAUGGAAUUAGUGGUGUAGGGGUAAAAUCCGUAGAUAUCACUAGGAAUACCGAAAGCGAAGGCGAUCUCCUGGAACAUUACUGACGCUAAGGCGUGAAAGCGUGGGGAGCAAACAGGAUUAGAUACCCCGGUAGUC